UUGAACAAAACAACAAAGAAUGAGAAAAAUACCCUUUUCCUCUCUUGUUGCUAGAAUUGGCUUGAAGACUAGGGUUGAUGGGAAGCAAACUGAUGGUAGAUCUUCCUUUCUUCUUUGCGGCUAAAGAGGAAGGGGUAUGUUCAUUGUAUAAAUUAAUUUCUGAAUUUUCUGCUGCUUUUGGCAACUAUAUCCAGCAAGCAAACUGAUACAACUAAAGGGAAGGGUUGUAUUCAUCAUUAAAUUCUGGAUUUUACCCUGGUUUGGCAACCAGAUCAAGCAAAUACAAUCAAGGAAACUAGGGCUAGUCUUUUUUGAUUGAGUAUUCAACAUGAUAAAAUUAAUACCAUUAUUAGAUUGAAAUAUACUUUUUAUUUGAAUUGUGGACAAAAUUGAGGUAUUACAAUUCUUGAUUAAAUUCUUUCAAUGGUGCUAGAAA